UACGAAGGGGGCUAGCGUUGUUCGGAAUUACUGGGCGUAAAGGGCGCGUAGGCGGACAGUUUAGUCAGAUGUGAAAGCCCAGGGCUCAACCUUGGAAAUGCCUUUGAUACUGGCUGUCUUGAGUUCGGGAGAGGUGAGUGGAAUGCCGAGUGUAGAGGUGAAAUUCGUAGAUAUUCGGCGGAACACCAGUGGCGAAGGCGACUCACUGGCCCGAUACUGACGCUGAGGCGCGAAAGCGUGGGGAGCAAACAGG
rnacentral:rRNA from 1 species